rnacentral:lncRNA from 1 species
GGGGACGCAGAAGGAAAAGCCUCCCGGAAGAAAGUGCUCUUCUCCAAGCAGCCUCCUCAGUCCCAAGGCCACAAGAUGGAUCACACUGCCACAACCCCAGGUGGAGAAAUAAAGAAAGUUGAACUCCACCUGAAGUUUGUGGAUUUGGCAAGACUGACUGGCCAGACAGACAGACCGAAGGAUCAACAUCCUCAUCUGCAUCCCUUGCUGAGAUCACAGGCUCAUGCUGCCAGGCCCAGCUUCUGUGUGACUGUGGGGACCCUGAACUCAGGUCCCCACACUUGCUUGGCAGGCACUUGACUCCAGAAGGCAUCCAUCUCUUCAGUUCCCUAUCUCUGCAUUUUAAACAGAAACCAUGAACAUUAAAUCACGUGACAAAGCCGCAUCUACCUGGUUACCAGGAGUCAUGUGGCUGUAUCUUUUCAAUGCCACGUCUAGUUCUCUGUGGCAGGACUUAUUUUUCUAGCUCCCAAAUGUGGUGUCUUUGUUAGAGCAUUUGUAUCUUUUAUCACAGGUCUUUUGUUGGGGAAUAAUUUGAGUCACUGCAUAGAGAAUUUGAGAAGGGUGCCUAGUUAUCGCACUCAGCAGCGUAUGACUUUCGAUAAAUCUCUUAAUAUCUGGAAACCAUUUUCUAUAAAAAAAAUUAAGCUAUGUAAUAAGGCCUACUUCACAAUGCUGUGCUAGGCCAAUGUGAAAUUGGAUAUAAAAACUGGGCACAUGUCAGGUUCAUUGCCAAGAUGGGGAAGGAAGUGGAUGCAGAGGGAACCCACAAACCUCACUCCUUCCUCUGUGUCAGCUCUGCCACCUUUCUUUUGUUAAGAAUGGCCUGCUGCCUGGAAAACAUACCUAAGGGCUAGAGACCUCUGAGUCCUCCAUGAACCUAGAAGAUGUCCUCAUGAUUCUGGUCAAGAACAAGGUACAGUUACUUGUUCUCAAUACCCAGAGUCAACCUGAUGCUCUAUCAUAACAGCAGACUCACCAAGAACUCAUCUGUGACCCAGACACCCUGCUCAACCCCUUCCUGAAUUAUUGCUAUGCCCAAUGCUCAAUGCUCCCAUCAGUGCCUUCCACUGACUAAACCUCAUCCUAAACCAAAGUACAGAUGCCCCUGGGGUGGGUUUGUAAGGGUCAGCACCCAGAGGACAAAGACAGAACUGUGUCCCUAAGGUGGGAGAGGGGUGAACAGGACCCAAUAAGUGUGCAAGCUAGGUUUCAAGUGUGAGAGGCGUGAGAGAAGAGACACAUUGUUUCUCCCCAAGCAGAACCCAUGCUCCAUGCUCUUCAGUAGGUAGAGUGCAGUUGCCAUGUGAAGACAAGGCACAGAGUGAAGAAGCACCUUGUGGUCUUUUUCCCUAGAGAGUAUGGAAAUGCUCAUUUCUUUUCUUGUGGUCAGACUGAGGAUGUCCACAGCAAUGCUGCAACAGGAAGGACCCAGGCUUUCCCCUUAUAGACACACUGCUGUUGCUGCUGCUGCUGCUGCUGCUGCUGCAGGUUGAUUGGUUGUUUCGAUGAGUGUUGACAGAGGUAGUGAGACCUCACUAGUCAUACCUAAGUCAUACACAACUCCAUUUCAUCUUAUCUGCAGUGCUGGGCAUAGAACCCAGGUCCUUCCUAGUCGGCCUCUCUGCCAGUGAGCCACACUUUCAGUCACACUCUCAGCCCAUUGUGGAUAUUUUUCAAGGUUCUUGAUCACCUCGUUACUACCUUGAAAUUUCAGCAGUUAUUCACCCCAAUGUUAGCUGUUGUUUAGUGCAUUAAUAAGGAAACACUACCAAAUGCUGUUAGUCCAUGUUGUCUCCGAUUCUUUGGUGAUUUUACAUGGCAUGUACAAUGUAUUUAAAUCAUAAUCACCCUUCACUAUCCCUCUCUAACUUUUCUUGGAACCUUCUCCCUCAGAUUCCCCCAAUUUCAUGUUUUCUUCUUACUUUUUACUUCUUCAAAUAACACAAGCUAGCUAAUGUCAUGUCAACUUGAAAUAGCCACUUGAGAAGAGAACCUCAAUUGAGAAAAUGGCCCCACUACAUUGGCCUGAGGUGCAUUUUCUUGAUUGAUGUCUGAUGAGGGAGGCUCCAGUUUACUGUGUGUGUGGGGGGGUCAAUGCUGGGGUAGUGGUCUUGGAUACUAUAAGAAAGCAGACUAAGCAAGCCACGAGGAGCAAGCCAGUAAGCAGCACUCCUCCAUGGCUUCUCCAUCAGCUCCUACCUCCAGGUUCCUGCCAUGAGUUCCUGCUGUGACUUCACCAAGUGGCAGAGUGUGACCUGAGAAUUGUAAGAUGUAAUAAGCCCUUUCCUCACCAAGUUUCUGUUGGUCAUAUUGUUUAAUUACAAUAGCAGGAACACUAAGACAUAAUCCACUGAGUCCAAUUACUGCUGCCUAUGGAUGGAGGGCCAUCCAACAGAGCCCGGACCACAUCCCUAGAGAAAAUGCAUCACCUCUCUCCCAGAAUUCUUCUGGCAAUAGGCUCCUCACCUAGGUUUAGAAUCUCAUGAGUUGACUGGUUUGAUAUUGUAUAGGCAAUCAUAGCUGUUGUGAGUUCAUGAGAACAACAGCCCUGGCAUGACCAGAAGACCUUAUUUUGUAGCUGUUGUCUCCAACCUCUGGCUUUCACAAUCACCUUCUUCCAGGAUGUUCUCUAAAAGGGUGUGUGUGUGUGUGUGUGUGUGUGUGUGUGUGUGUGUGUGUGUGUGUAUGUGUGUGGUGGUGGAGGUGGGGCUUCUGUUUAGGACUGAGCACUCCACAGUCACUUAUUUUCUGUACUUUGAGCAACUAGAAAUCUCCAGAGCCAAGAACUAUGAGGACAAGAGAAAGCUGCACUAAUCUCUGGGUAUAAAAUUAGACAUUUCAAUGGCAGUUUGUACUACCAUGUGUUUUGAAAAGACUUUGAAAAGUCAAUUUAAUGAUUGUAAGCUUGCUGAACCACAGUCCCACCACCCUACUCUCAGGUGUGUGGAGUCAAAAUUUUGGUAUGGGAUCCUGGGGAUCUGAAUGUGCUCCUAACUUCUUGAGUGAUCUGAGGGGUAGAAUAAAUUCCUGCUAUAGAAUGUCU